rnacentral:rRNA from 1 species
CCUACGGGAGGCUGCAGUGGGGAAUAUUGGGCAAUGGGCGCAAGCCUGACCCAGCAACGCCGCGUGAAGGAAGAAGGCUUUCGGGUUGUAAACUUCUUUACUCAGGGACGAAGAAGGUGACGGUACCUGAGGAAUAAGCCACGGCUAACUAGGUGCCAGCAGCCGCGGUAAUACGUAGGUGGCAAGCGUUGUCCGGAUUUACUGGGUGUAAAGGGCGCGUAGGCGGGAAAGUAAGUCGGAUGUGAAAACCAUGGGCUCAACCUCUGGACUGCAUUUGAAACUGUUUGUCUUGAGUGCUAGAGGGGCAGGCGGAAUUCCUAGUGUAGCGGUGGAAUGCGUAGAUAUUAGGAGGAACACCAGUGGCGAAGGCGGUCUACUGGACAACAACUGACGCUGAGGCGCGAAAGCGUGGGGAGCAAACAGGAUUAGAUACCCCAGUAGUC